rnacentral:rRNA from 1 species
CCUACGGGCGGCAGCAGUGAGGAAUCUUGGUCAAUGGGCGCGAGCCUGAACCAGCCACGUAGCGUGAAGGAUGACUGCCCUACGGGUUGUAAACUUCUUUUAUAAAGGAAUAAAGUGAGGCCCGUGUGCCUUUUUGUAUGUACUUUAUGAAUAAGGAUCGGCUAACUCCGUGCCGUCAGCGGCGGUAAUACGAGGAUCCGAGCGUUAUCCGGAUUUAUUGGGUUUAAAGGGAGAGUAGAUGGGUUGUUACGUCAGUUGUGAAAGUUUGCGGAUCAACCGUAAAAUUGCAAUUGAGACUGGCAGCCUUGAGUACAGUUGAGGUAGGCGGAAUUCGUGGUGUAGCGGUGAAAUGCUUAGAUAUCACGAAGAACGCCGAUUGCGAAGGCAGCUUACUAAACUGCCACUGACAUUGAUGCUCGAAAGUGUGGGUAUCAAACAGGAUUAGAUACCCUGGUAGUC